AGUGUUUGCAUUCUUCACAUAGGCUACAUGUAUUCAUUCAGUACAAUAUUGAAGGCCCCGAACUGAAACAGAUGGGUACAAACGAGUGCACCAUUACACCCCUGCUUUGGAAAGCACA